UUGAAAUUUAAUAAAUCUAGUGAGUGAAGUUUUCUUAAGAUUCAUGACAGAUAAUUGCCAACUGUUUCUCAUGUGAAUUCUCCCUGUUUUUUUUUUCUUUUACAUAAAACCCCUAGGUUUUCAUUUGGUUUGUCCAUCCAACAACAGAUUACAUUUACCAGUUUCUUUUGCAGUGGGGUAUGAUCAUGUGACCAAGUCUUGGUUAAUGGAACUUGGGCAGAUAUGAAGAAAGCUACAACCAGGUCAUUUCCUUCAAGGUAAUUGUCACAGACACUGUUCUUUCUCACUUCCCUUAGAUGUGGUGGUGAGCCACCAUGAACCACAUUGAUGGCCCCCAAGCCCACAGAGCCCACAGAGAGCCAAAGGAGAAAAGGAGCCAAUUCUUUAGAAGACCUUAAGGAGAAAUGUUGCUUGGCCUCCAGUUCUGACCACUCAUUACUAGACUGUAACAUAAGAAAAACAGAACAAAACUUUUAUCAUCUUUGAGCCAUAGGGUUAGACUGUACCCCAGUAAUACAGUCUCAGACUAUCCAUAAACUUAAUCAUAUCCUCUUAAAUGUUUCAAAUUAAAUUCAAGUCUAAUGUACUAGGUUUUCUUAUAUGUUAGAUUGCCAUCAAUGUUUUAACCUCUUUAAAUAACACACAGAUUAUAAUGAUGAUUAAAC
rnacentral:lncRNA from 1 species